UUCGACCGAGCUCCUCCCCGACCCCAAAACACUGUUGUGCGAUUUUCCGGCGAUCUCUCUGUCGUGAGAGCAUCUCCGACCGGCGCACCAAUCUCGUCAUGACCGCCUCCUCGUCGCCAUCCUCCCUGUAGCUAUGGUUCCUCCUAUCUCCAACAAAGAAGAGAGAAUCGAAGGAGAAGGCCGAACUGUUCCUGUUUUUCUUCCGGCGAGUUUUCAGCGUUUCCGGCUUCUCAGGCCACCGUUUGGGUCGAUUCGGUUGAUUCCGACAUUUCUGGGUUUGGAUAAGACUUUGGGUGUAGCUUAGUGAGGCUUGAAGUUGAUUAGGCAGCUUUCUGGAUUGAGUUCAUUAUCGACUUUGAUUUGGUGGAUUUCUGCUUCAUUGAAUUCGUGAAGAAAGCUUCUGCUACUUGGAUUUCCAAAGGUAGAUUACAGCUUGAAUUCCAAGUUAGUUUGGUUAUAUUGGUAUGUUGCUGUAAUCAUAUAUUGGGAGUUGAAAAUGGAAUAUGUUGAUAUUCGAUCUGUGAUCAUAGUUUUGGACCGUUUGGCUGUUUGUAAUUACCGAAGGAUAUUGUGAUAAUUGCCUUGAG